rnacentral:rRNA from 1 species
GACGAACGCUGGCGGCGUGCUUAACACAUGCAAGUCGAACGGAAAGGCCCUGCUUUUGUGGGGCGCUCGAGUGGCGAACGGGUGAGUAACACGUGAGUAACCUGCCCUUGACUUUGGGAUAACUUCAGGAAACUGGGGCUAAUACCGGAUAGGAGCUCCUGCUGCAUGGUGGGGGUUGGAAAGUUUCGGCGGUUGGGGAUGGACUCGCGGCUUAUCGGCUUGUUGGUGGGGUAGUGGCUUACCAAGGCUUUGACGGGUAGCCGGCCUGAGAGGGUGACCGGCCACAUUGGGACUGAGAUACGGCCCAGACUCCUACGGGAGGCAGCAGUGGGGAAUAUUGCACAAUGGGCGGAAGCCUGAUGCAGCAACGCCGCGUGCGGGAUGACGGCCUUCGGGUUGUAAACCGCUUUCGCCUGUGACGAAGCGUGAGUGACGGUAAUGGGUAAAGAAGCACCGGCUAACUACGUG